rnacentral:pre_miRNA from 11 species
CUGUGGUGCAUUGUAGUUGCAUUGCAUGGUCCUUAAAGCCGAGUGCAAUGUGUCUGCAGUGCAGUACAG